GUGAUCGGUUUUUCUUUCGAAUCUGGCAAUCUAACUCCCAUCCUUUGUUGCCCAAACUUGAUAUCCUUAAGCGUCUGUGUAAUGCUCAAGAAACCCAUGGACUUUCCUAUCUACUAAAAACUUAUAUCUUUUCUUCUAACCUCCCCCACCCUACAUCCAAAUUUAGUAUUUACCCUCGGUUUGAUGUUCCUUACGACGCCUUAGUUUUUCAGCCCAAUGUAGUAAUGGAUUUAGGUAUCAGUAAAUACUCUCCUGCCGCUGAAAAAGCUCUAAGUGCGAAACUCAAUUCAGAGUGGCCAGGCUGGCUCCCCAUAUUCACUGACGCAUCCAAACUCUCCGAAAACAGCAACGUGGGUUUGGCCGUAUGGCUGCCCAAGUACAAAGUUGCACUCAGUUUUAAGCGUCCCCCUGAGUCCUCGGUCUUCACGGGCGAGGCAACAGCUAUUCUCGAGGCGCUUCUGUACGCUGAGUCACACAAACUUAACAAAACUAUUAUCCUUUCUGAUUCGGCCAGUUCAUUACAAGCAAUUAUUUCCUUUCCCUUUAAAUCCAAAUCCAAAUUCCCUAUCAUUUAAAAAAUUAGAGAAACCCUAUUCCGUUGCAUGACUCAGGGUAUAGAAGUAGCUAUCGCUUGGAUACCUGGGCACAGUGGUAUUAUUGGUAAUGAGUGUGCAGAUUCCUUUGCUAAGGAUGCCGUUAGCUUGGGCCUGGACACUCAUUACCAAAAUUUUGCCCAUGACCUUGCCUCGCUCGCAGGACCGAGGCUGGAUAGAUCCUGGAAAGUGUCCUGGGACACUUCUAGGAAUUUUAAAGGUUUUAACUGUGUAAAUAGUCUAAAAUAACCGUAACGACUGCUUUCCAAUACUGUGAGCAUUGGUCACGUGACUCUGGCCCAGUUAGCCGUGUUAGUCACACACGGCAAAGAGCCAUUCAACCAAAA